UUGGUGGGGUGAUGGCCUACCAAGGCGACGACGGGUAGCCGGCCUGAGAGGGUGUCCGGCCACACUGGGACUGAGAUACGGCCCAGACUCCUACGGGAGGCAGCAGUGGGGAAUAUUGCACAAUGGGCGCAAGCCUGAUGCAGCGACGCCGCGUGAGGGAUGACGGCCUUCGGGUUGUAAACCUCUUUCAGUAUCGACGAAGCGCAAGUGACGGUAGGUACAGAAGAAGCACCGGCCAACUACGUGCCAGCAGCCGCGGUAAUACGUAGGGUGCGAGCGUUGUCCGGAAUUACUGGGCGUAAAGAGCUCGUAGGUGGUUCGUCGCGUUGUUCGUGAAAACUCACAGCUCAACUGUGGGCGUGCGGGCGAUACGGGCAGACUGGAGUACUGCAGGGGAGACUGGAAUUCCUGGUGUAGCGGUGGAAUGCGCAGAUAUCAGGAGGAACACCGGUGGCGAAGGCGGGUCUCUGGGCAGUAACUGACGCUGAGGAGCGAAAGCGUGGGGAGCGAACAGGAUUAGAUACCCUGGUAGUCCACGCCGUAAACGGUGGGUACUAGGUGUGGGUUUCCUUCCUUGGGAUCCGUGCCGUAGCUAACGCAUUAAGUACCCCGCCUGGGGAGUACGG
rnacentral:rRNA from 1 species